AUCGAACGCUGGCGGCAUGCUUUACACAUGCAAGUCGAACGGUAACAGGCCGCAAGGUGCUGACGAGUGGCGAACGGGUGAGUAAUGCAUCGGAACGGGCCCAGUCGUGGGGGAUAACGCAGCGAAAGCUGUGCUAAUACCGCAUACGAUCUAUGGAUGAAAGCGGGGGACCGUAAGGCCUCGCGCGAUUGGAGCGGCCGAUGUCAGAUUAGGUAGUUGGGGGGGUAAAGGCUCACCAAGCCAACGAUCUGUAGCUGGUCUGAGAGGACGACCAGCCACACUGGGACUGAGACACGGCCCAGACUCCUACGGGAGGCAGCAGUGGGGAAUUUUGGACAAUGGGCGCAAGCCUGAUCCAGCAAUGCCGCGUGCAGGAAGAAGGCCUUCGGGUUGUAAACUGCUUUUGUACGGAACGAAAAGGUUUGGGUUAAUACCCUGGGCCGAUGACGGUACCGUAAGAAUAAGCACCGGCUAACUACGUGCCAGCCGCCGCGGUAACAC
rnacentral:rRNA from 1 species